rnacentral:lncRNA from 1 species
ACGAAUGAGGUUAGCAUCACAGCUUCUCCUGCGCUAUUUCAAACUUUUUUUCCUCUUUCAAAUAUAAUAGCAGAGUAGGAAAAUUACUCCCAUCAUAACAAAUUGGUGAAUCAUUGAAAAUUUUUGGAAAUGACUGCUAAUCUUUUACAACAAGAGAACUUAAAGGAUCAAUUUUCCUUUAGAAAUCUAUAUAUUUCAUAGGCACACACUCCCAGCAGGGUGUUUGGUUUCUGAAGAGCAAUUUUUUUUUAUCUUUACCAAAAUCCACACAUUUGGUUUCUUUUUCACUUAUUUUUACCAUUCAAAAAUAGACCAUCUGUGUAAAAUGCACAUAGACCAUUCAAAAAUUCAAAUAUAAUCUCAUCAAUAACAUUUCCAACAUACCAGCUGUGCACAGUGCCUAUCAGGCCUCUGUCAUAUAUUAUUUUGAGAGUGUUGGAUCCGUCUUCAGGCACGACAUUCAUAACCCAGACAUCUUUGCUCUUCAGAGCAGCUGCAAAUGACCCUAGGUUUGCCUUCAUGUCCAUCACAUUCCUCAGUGUAUCAGGCCUAAUCUUUGGGCUUAAAAGAUUCCAAUAAUUCUCUACUCUUUGCUGCCAAACCUCCUGCAACAUAUCAAACCUGUUUUAAACCAGCUACUUGCAUUUACACAGAUGUAAACUUACUGCAACUUUUGGAUAGAUUACCAUGUCCUUUUCAAACAUUUUAUUAGAAUAGCCAAAGUCAGCGAGACAGGGAGGUAGAGCAGUCAACCGGGCAGGCCAAGGAGCCAAUCCACUCCCUCUUGCUUUAUGACUCUCUGGUGGGAUCAUCACAAUAUUUAGUUAGUGUAUUUCUAACUGCCCAUUACAAGUUUCAUGCAGGUAAAAAAGCAGUUAAUAACAUAGCAGAUGAAAGUGUUAAAACAUCAAAAGACAAGCAAUCUUGAGGAGGUACCUAGGUGAUAAGCACGCAACACGUGAACAACAAAGGAUCAAAUAUGUAAACAAGAACAUAUUGCCAUGUUUAAUUUAUUAAUAACAUGAUCACAUUCCUAAUGAUGUUUCUAUUUCAAGUGACAUACUAGCACUAUUUUGAAGUUCCUCGAUAAAAAUUAAAAGGUUUUUUGGUUUUUUCCAUUUCUAUGAGAUUGGACCACUGUAGAAAUGGCAAUUACAGUACUCACGGUCAGAGUGAGUGAUGCAAGCUUCCAUUGGCACACCCCAUACUGCAUCUGGGUCGUCAUCAGAUUUGCAGAGAGGAGGCUGGGUGCCGGGUUCUCUUUCCAUGUAACAGUCAUUUGUCAGAGGCUUGACCCAGAUAACUGUUUGAUUCCUUUUAGCAGCUAUCUUCCAACACAUUCAUUCAACAAGGGCGCUCAUUUCUUUCCAGAUUCUCAGAUCCUCUUCAUCUUGUGCAUAGGCUUCAGGGGAUGAGUAUGCAAAGUAGCCUCCAGGUCUAAGCAACCUAUCUAGCUCAAGAAGAAGGAUUCCAUUUCUUUGAAGCCAAUCAAUCCUACAACGAGAACAAUGUGCAAGUUCAAAAGAUCUGCUCGGGUAAGGAAGUCUUUUUGUCCCUAAAACACCAAGGUGUGCAGGGAUUCCUCUUUCCAGGGCAAACUGGAUCUUGUUUUGAUGAACAUCAUUUGGUGCCAAUGACAUUGCAAUCAUAUCAGAAGAAAGCAUAUAUCCCCCAAAACUCGCAACUCCACAACCAACAUCAAGUACUGUCCGGAGCCUUCCUCCAUUGUUUAAAAUGUUUUUUGGAAAGUUCAGCAUCUGCCGACCAGAAAUAUAAACAAAAUAAAAAAAAACUGGGACUGUUUGGAGAUAGCAUGUGCAGUCAAACAUAAUAUUGCAUCACCAGGAUUUCAAUGAAACGCAAUUGAUUGAAGCUUGAGAAUCACACAUUUACAUGAGAAAAAUUAUUAACUUACAUUUGCAAUUGCAGCUAUAUACUUGUCAGCCCCGUAAUGGAAGUGUGUGCCACCUCCAGGAAAUUCAAUCUUGUCACCUUUGACAACCAUCCAAUUCUGAUCAGACUUUUCACUUGCGAGGUGGGUGUGAGGUAUAUUUUCUUUCCACACCACAUCUCUGCUUUUGGGCCACUUGAUCGGGACCUGCAACCAUCAAGGAUAGGAAACACAUAAAACUUUAAGCUGGUUCAUUCAAUUCACAUGGCCAAAACAAUACUUCCCAACAAACUAGCUACUACAAAAUACUUCUGAAAAACUUUACCUUGUAACCUGGUGGAGGAGGAAUCAAGCAAUUGAAGUGCCUUUCUGGAGCUGGGCAAUGUCUUUCAUAGUGCUCCAUCAAAGACAAAUCCAGCUUCAAUCUUGUCUGGUAUAUAAGGUUCCUAUCUAGACAAGGAAUCAGCUCCGAUUGCCCGUCAUCACAAACCUACAACAUUGAAAGUAAUUACAAGAGAAGUAUAGCUUAUAUCAGUGCAACUGAUUCUAAAACAGAGAAACGUGAACCCUAGUGCAAGUGAACAUAAAAUUUGCUCAUCUUGAAAUUGCUUACAGGAAUGCUUUUAAGCAUGACACCAUCCUGUAGAUCUUCGCCGAAUUUGUUUGAAGCUUCAUCGCCACCAUCCUCCCCACUCAAAUAAGAAGAACCUAACUUCCUUAGAGAUUUACUGCCAUAUUCCAGAGCAGAUGUUCCACCUUUCCGAGAAUAUAUGUAAAGACAACCGCAAACAAUAGUCAAUACCACUAUCCAAGUUACCAGCCGCUUCUUCUGUUCCCCGUCAACUCUUCCCCUUGCCAUCUUUUGCAACCAGUAAUAAAAAUACAAAAUCUCCCUCUUCCACUGUAACUUCAAUAUACAGAAGACAAAUCAGAACUUCAUUUCUCUCUCCAAGUGAUUAGUGAUGAAUGACCACCCAAUACAAAUUCGCUAUUGAAUUCCCUUCAUCAUGGCCUCAAAUUUCUUGUCACCACUAGCCUUGAUUCCAAAAAUAAAUCAAGUUAGGACUAAAGCAUCCAUAACACAAGGCACAAUAGUCUAGCAAAUCACAGAACAAACCCUAAAUUGCAAACAUUCAACUCAUACAAUCCAAUGUCAAAACAUUAACAAAAAGUGAAAUCACACCUUUAUCAGGUCAAUCAUUCAUACAGAAGAAGAUCACUACUCAGAGAUUAAAAAGAAGAUAGCAAAUGUAACAAAACAAACAAAAGAACUACAUUCCAUCUACGAGAAUGUGGCAUGCUAUUGCACUUACAUGAGAUUAGCAAGAACAGUAGAUCUAAGAAAAACAUUGAAAUGAAAUAACCAAAUCAAAUCUACCCAGUUGAAUGAAGCAGCAGCAUGAUCUUGUCAGAUAAACAAGGGGGCAAUAAUGAAAAAAGGGGAAAAAAGAACAGUACACACGAAAAGCACCGCCAAGUUGCUGGUUGCCAGUUAUAAUGUGAUACAGUUAAGCAUUGAAAGAGAUUGAUUAAGAAGACCCAGAUCACAAAAAUUUCAACACUUUGAAUACUUUGUGUCUUUAAUUACUGUAACCACAUCAUCGAACCCAUGUCAAAAACAAAUGUCGGCAAUGUUUCAAACCAUAAAGAAAGUUACAAACUUUAAGACUGCUGCGUAAUUGUAUUAAUACAGUAUAAACUCACACUUAGAAAAAUGAAAAUGACAAUGCUGCUCUCUUCCUCCCUCUCUUUCUCUCUAUUUGUAAGGAGAAAAUUGACAAGCUUGGAUCUUGAACUGCAAGAAAAGAAAUUGAUGGAUGAUGUCAGGUACCUGGAUGGGCUAAAUGUGGAGUAGAGAAAGGACGAUGCUGAGCCACUGCAUAAAUUAAACAAUGGCAAUUUUUAUUGAGAAAAAACAUCUUUUUAACCCCUUACAUAAAUAAUAUAGCUAAUUUAACUCAGGUUAAUUAAAAAAUUAAAAAUCAAAUUAAUAUUUUUUAAAAUAAUUCAUUGAUUUUUUAUCGGGUUUGUUUUACAAGCGUCACAAAUCAAUCCUAAUGUAUUUUUUUAUUUUUAUUUUAUUUAAAUCAGUCUAGAUUAAAAGUCGAUAAAAUCUCAAAUUAACUCAUUGAAGGAUCCGAAUUUUAUAACUAUAAAAAAAUUCCUGGGAUGUAAUCAAGUUUGAAGUUUUCUUGUUGUGUUUUACAGUUGUUAGUUAUAGAAUUUACAAGGGAUGGGGGUUAGGUUUUGGUCAAGAGUCAAACCAGGAGGAAUCUAGUUGUCUACUCCUAUCUAUUUUCUAGCUAGCUAAAUUAAAAUUAUGUUGUUUUUAUUUCUUCAAAAGAAGAUUGUGAAUUGAUUUGAAUAAUUAAUAUAAAAUAAUUUUUAGAAUAUUCCUUAAGCUUAUAGAUUCGGUCAAAUUGAGUUCAAAACCUUAAUUAAUGAUCGCCAAAUGGUGAGGAGUUAGAACCAAAUAAUUUUAUUCUUCUUUGAUUAAUUUGUCAUUUAAGAUUUUGGAUGGAUAUAUUUCCUUGACAAGUUAUUUAUAAUUAAUUUAAAUUAAAUUCAUCACUUAACAAUUUAAGAUUUUAAAUUAAAACAUUCUUUUUAAUAAAUCAAUAAAUUUCAUCAUAACUGAGGAGUUAUUUUGUCCUGGCUGAUAAUGAACAUUAUUGUGCUUCGAGGAUCAAGUUCAUGGUCCAUUCUCUAAAAACAAAGGGACUGUACAUGUAUCUGGAUUGUGCUUGGUUAAUAUUUUGAACAAAGAAAAAAUACUUAGAGAAAAUACAAAUAUAAUUAAUUAAAAAUUUAGAUGCAUGAAAUAAAUUUAUUUUUAAAACAAUUUUAAAAAAAUUAUAUUUUAAAAUAAAAGGUAUGAAAAAAUACAUCCACACUAUCUUCAUCUUCGCCUUUUAUAUCUCGAAAUAAUUAUAAAAAAGGGAUGAGUGAUGCUAAAGUUUUUUGAGAAAAUAAAUAUUUUUCUCAAUUAAUUUUUUAUUUUUAUUAUGUAUUAGUAUGCUUUUCUAGUUUUUUUUCCUGUUUAAAGAUGAUAGUUUUUCUAUUUUAUUUUAUUUUUAUCUAGUAUUAUUAGAGUUUUGUAGUUUUUUCUAUAUAAAAAAUUAUAAUACUAUUUUGACAUGAGGAGACAUUGAUGAAUAAAAUUGAAUAUUUUAGAAGUCUUCCUGUAAUCAUGGUAUUCCUAGUCUUUGAGAUCUAGACUUAUAACAAACCACGUUAUUCUUCGCUUUGACUACGUCAAUUGAUAUUAGAGCUCAAUAAUUUCUAAAAGAUUUUGUCAUGUUAUCAAAUCAUAAUGGUUAGAGAUUGCAAAAGAUGUGUACUAAAAUUCAACAAUUUUGAGUGAUUAAUUAUUAUACAUUGUUGAAUAAUCAUUGUUAGAAAAAAUUUCAAAACAAGAGGUGUUUGUAUAGGAGUAGAUAAGAAGGUUCACUCUUAUAAAAGAAAUAUUCUAGAAAUAAAGUGUUGUUUUUGUUUAUGUCAGUUGUUAUUAUUGAAAAUCUUAAUAGCAAAACCUUUGAUAAAGUGGCUUAUAAAAGGUGUAGUGUUAGAAAUUUAUGAUAAUACAACCUGCAUAAAAAUAUUAUAUUAAAAUUUUAUAAUAAAAUAAUCUACAUGUGUUGGGACUUCCAAUGAAAAGGUCCACACAAAAAAUGUUCAUGUUGGAUGAUAAUUUCUAAUGCAGAGUCUAAUGCAUCAAAUGUUUUUAUAAAAUAAAUAUUUUUGUUGGCUAUUUUUUUUUCUAUUUUUAUUUUCCAAUCAUGUAUUAUUAUACUUUUCUAGUUUUUUUAUUUGAAAAGAAUAGUUUUCUUAUUUAAUAUUAUUUGAGUUUUUCUUUUUCUUUUUAUAUAAAGAAUUAUAAUAAUCUUUUAACAAAGUAAAAGAAAAAGAUUAAUAAAAUAAAAUAUUUUAAAAAUCUCCUGAUAUUUGAAGGUUCUGACUCCAGAGUCGGUGAAAAAAAUUGCGGAGUUAAUAAAAGCUCGGUCAAAAAAUUAAAAGUGCAUGACAAACAAGAAGACUCCUGUAAAAUGAAUGCUUCAAUUUCCAUACUUCCUAUAACAGCCUUGAUUUAAUUUAAUCAAUAGUCAGCGAUUAAAUUAACAAUUUGAAUUUAUAAUGAAUAAUAGAGCAUAAAUAACGUGGAUAAAAAAUUCUGCUUUCAUAUAAGAUUAAGGAGAAGAAAUAAACUAAAACAUCAAAUGCUACAAAAUCAUAUAAACCACCAGGCACGACAUGGGCUACCUUUAGCCCCUGCAAUGUUCAGGUAGAAGGGCAAGAGUUUGGAAAUCAUGGUUGGCUGUUUUAUUCAGUGACACUGAAGCUGGUGCUUGUUAGCCACAUCUUCUUUUGGAUGAUGAACACCACCUCAUCCUCACCUUGCUCGGUGUCCUGCUCAGCAUCACCUGUAGCCACUGCUUCCCAAUGCAGUGCUGACAAAUGUUUCUUUACGAAUUCCACCACUGAUGGCUUAUCGCGGAUAAUAAUGAAGCCUGUGGGUCUCAAAAUGCGGUCCAUCUCGAUUAACAGGUCCUCGGCACCACAAUCUUUCUUUUCUAUGUCUGAGAAGACAGUCCAAGCAUGAAGUAGAUCAUAAGUCCGUGGAUAGGUUGAAAACGAUUCGCACCUGCCAAUAGGAAACAAAAAUCAUUUUAGACCACAUGAUAGUCUGAUCAAGAAAUAUAAUUGGCAGUUCCAUGAUGUUUUUGUUUCCCUCUCCUAGGAAGUACCAUGCCUGCCAUGGUUAUUACAACAGUCUACCACCCCAAGAAUUUUCCUGAUAAGAGAGUUAACAGAACCUUCUCAUGUGUUUGCAAGAGAAGAAUAUUAUGUGGAGUCAAACUAGAUGGAAAACCUCAUAUUCUACAAUGAAAUGGUUUCUCAGAGAUGAGUUUGUAUUACAGUUUCUGCUGUAUCAUAUCUUCCUAUACUUUCCUUUUUCUUUUUACUUGAAAAAAGAAAUCAAAUUUACCCAUCAAGCAAACUGGCAUGUGGUUAUAACAAUGGUAUUGGCUACAAACUUUCUACACAAUCUCAUGAAAACACGUUGGAAGGAUUUCUCAUAGAAACCUAAAUAACCUUAGAGUAGACACAGCCCUAAUGAUGCUUCUGUUUUCUGAUAAAAUGUAUUAAUAAAAUAAAUAUCUAGAAUUUUUACUAACACGACAGAUAGGUUUGAUUAUUUAUUUUUUUCAGAAAUUUAAUCCCCAACACAUUUGAAUAUUUUCCAAAUGUCAAAUAUUAGAAAAGUUUUGGAACUCACCAGUUGUGCGCAGAGCCUAUCAGGCCUCUAUCAUAUAUUAUUUUGAGAGUGUUGGGUCCAUCUUCAGGCACAACAUUCAUAACCCAAACGUCUUUGCUCUUUAGGGCAGCUGCAAAUGACCCUAGGUUAGCCUUCAUGUCCAUCAAAUUCCUCAGGGUAUCAGACUGAAUCUUUGGGCUCAAAAGAUUCCAAUAAUUCUCAACCCUGUGCUGCCAAACUUCCUGCAACAUAUCAAUCCUGUUACAAACCAGCCUCUUCCAAACAUUUAACAGAUUGGAAAAUUUUGAUAGAUUACCGUGUCCUUUUCAAAUGUUUCAGCAGAAUAGCCAAAGUCAGCUAGACGGGGAGGUGGUGUGGUCAACCGAGCAGGCCAAGGGGCCAAUCCACUCCCUUUUGCUUUAUGUUGUUCUGAUGGGAUCAUUAAAAUACUCAGUGCAUUUCUUACUUCCAACACAAAUUCUAUGUAGCUAAAAAAGCACCUUAUAAAAAUGCAAAUAAGGGCAAUGCAAAAUCAAACAAAAGCAUGGCAAGGAGGAUCUAACUACACCAAUGAUUCUUUUUUUAUUUCCUCAGUAGCAAUAUAUGAACAGUAAAAGAUCAAACAUUUAAACAAACACAAAUUGUCAUGUUAACUGUAUGUGCUGCUAAAAGCUCACAAACUCAAAAGGGGCAGGUAAAGCAUUGUUUACUGCAUGAGCAUUUUAUUGAUGUAAAGUAAAAUAUGCAAUUUCCUGUUCUACCUUCCAAAAUUAAUUUGCUUCCAUUGAAAGGUCAUGCUUGAAAAAAAAUCGUAAUGAGACUUGCUAACACUAAUCUUGAAAGUCCAAAAAGAAAUUUAAAGGGCUGAUAUGGUACUCACGAUCAGUGUAAGGAGUGAUGCAAGCUUUCAUUGGCACAUCCCAAACUGCAUCUGGAUCAUCAUCAGAUUUGCAGAGAGGAGGCUGAGUACCAGGUUCUCUUUCCAUGUAACAGUCAUUUGUCAGAGGCUUGACCCAGAUAACUGUUUGAUUCCUUUUCACAGCUAUCUUCCAACACAUCCGUUCGACAAGGGCGCUCAUUUCGUUCCAGAUUCUCAGAUCCUCUUCAUCUUGUGCAUAGGCUUCAGGGGAUGAGUAUGCAAAGUAGCCUCCAGGUCUAAGCAACCUAUCUAGCUCAAGAAGAAGGAUUCCAUUUCUUUGAAGCCAAUCAAUCCUACAACGAGAACAAUGUGCAAGUUCAAAAGAUCUGCUCGGGUAAGGAAGUCUCUUUGUCCCUAAAACACCAAGGUAUGCAGGGAUUCCUCUUUCCAAGGCAAACUGGAUCUGGUUUUGAUGAACAUCAUUUGGUGCCAAUGACAUUGCAAUCAUAUCAGAAGAAAGCAUAUAUCCCCCAAAACUUGCAACUCCACAACCAACAUCAAGGACUGUCCGGAGCC